AUGACUGCAAUUUUAGAGAGACGCGAAAGUACAAGCAUGUGGGGUCGCUUCUGCAACUGGACAACUAGCACUGAAAAUCGUCUUUACAUCGGAUGGUUCGGUGUUUUGAUGAUCCCUACCUUAUUGACCGCAACUUCUAUAUUUAUUAUCGCCUUCAUUGCUGCCCCUCCAGUAGAUAUUGAUGGUAUUCAUGACCCUGUUUCUGGUUCUUUACUUUUUGGAAACAAUAUUAUCUCUGCUCCUGUUGCAGCUGCUACUGCUGUUUUCUUGAUUUACCCUAUUGGUCAAGGAAGCUUUUCUGAUGGUAUGCCUUUAGGAAUCUCUGGUACUUUCAACUUUAUGAUUGUAUUCCAGGCAGAUCACAACAUCCUUAUGCAUCCAUUCCACAUGUUAGGUGUAGCUGGUGUAUUCGGCGGUUCCCUAUUCAGUGCUAUGCAUUGUUCCUUGGUAACCUCUAGUUUGAUCAGGGAAACUACUGAAAAUGAAUCUGCUAAUGAGGGUUACAAAUUUGGUCAAGAGGAAGAAACUUAUAAUACUGUGGCUGCUCAUGGUUAUUUUGGCCGAUUAAUCUUCCAAUAUGCUAGUUUCAACAACUCUCGUUCUUUACACUUCUUCUUGGCUGCUGGGCCUGUAGUAGGAAUCUGGUUCACUGCUUUAGGUAUUAGUACUAUGGCUUUCAACAUAAAUGGUUUCAAUUUCAACCAAUCUGUACUUGAUAGUCAAGGUCGCGUUAUUAAUACUUGGGCUGAUAUCAUCAACCGUGCUAACCUUGGUAUGGAAGUAAUACAUGAAAGUAAUGCUCACAACUUCCCUCUAGACUUAGCUAUUGUUGAAGUUCCAUCUAUUAAUGGAUAA
rnacentral:rRNA from 1 species